GAGUUUUGGAUGAUGAAGAAUUUUGGCUGAUCCAUUUGGCCAUGUAUGGCUUAUAUCUGCCAAUUAUGGUAUCAGAACAUCUUGAAUUAAAGAAGUCAUUUUAGUAAAGAAGCAGCUGUGAAUGCAGCUGAGAUGUCCUCACCAUUGGAGAAGCAAUUAACAAAAUCCCUGACUGGAGUGUAUGAAGCAUCUGUUAUGGAAGCAUAAAAGGUUAACCUAAAUCCCAGCACACAGAGAUGUCAGACUAGAACAAAUCAACAUGGAGAAUUACCUGGAGGCACCACAAGGUUAAGGUGGAGCAUAUGUAUCAUAAAAAAGUUGUUUAUGGCUAGCAGAAUUAAUUUUUCAGGAUGAGAAGGUCAAACAUGCAGCAAUGCGGGCUGUCCAUGAUGAGAAGAGAUUGUUUUGGGCUCCAGAUUUAACCUGGCAAACACCAAGUUGGAAUAUUUUUUUGAUAUGUCCAAACUGAAAACACUUAAGUAAAAGAUUACAAAGAUUACUAACUGUCAUCUCUGAACAGACUUAAUGCUUAUCAAUCAGCUACGUUUUCAUCCAAAUAUAUCUUGUACUAGGUUCAGCAGAUUGACCAAAUUGAUUCUCAAGAAGGCUAUUCCCUCUUUCCCUACCUGAUAAUGUAGGCUGUUUUAACCCUUCAAAUCCAAGUCCUUCAGCCCACUUCAAACCCAGUGCAUGUAGUGCAUCUUGCAGUGUGCGAAUUAAUUGCUAAAUUCCAAAUCUAAUUA